GACGACGCUGGCGGCGUGCCUAACACAUGCAAGUCGAGCGGAGGUAUUCAAGGAGCAAUCGUGCGGAUACUUUAGCGGCGGACGGGUGAGUAACGCGUGAGCAACCUGCCUUUCACAGGGGGAUAAGGCGGCGAAAGCCGCUCUAAUACCGCAUGGAGACCCCGGUGGUGAUACCACAGUGGUCAAAGGAGCAAUCCGGUGAGAGAUGGGCUCGCGUCCGAUUAGGUAGUUGGUGGGGUAAAGGCUCACCAAGCCAAUGAUCGGUAGCCGGCCUGAGAGGGUGAACGGCCACAUUGGAACUGAGAGACGGUCCAAACUCCUACGGGAGGCAGCAGUGGGGAAUAUUGGGCAAUGGGGGAAACCCUGACCCAGCAACGCCGCGUGAGGGAAGAAGGUUUUCGGAUUGUAAACCUCUGUUCUUGGGGAAGAGCAGAAGACGGUACCCAAGGAGGAAGCCCCGGCUAACUACGUG
rnacentral:rRNA from 1 species